rnacentral:rRNA from 1 species
AACGAACGCUGGCGGCAUGCCUAACACAUGCAAGUCGAACGAAGGCUUCGGCCUUAGUGGCGCACGGGUGCGUAACGCGUGGGAAUCUGCCCUUUGGUUCGGAAUAACAGCUGGAAACGGCUGCUAAUACCGGAUGAUGACGAAAGUCCAAAGAUUUAUCGCCAGAGGAUGAGCCCGCGUUGGAUUAGGUAGUUGGUGGGGUAAAGGCCUACCAAGCCGACGAUCCAUAGCUGGUCUGAGAGGAUGAUCAGCCACACUGGGACUGAGACACGGCCCAGACUCCUACGGGAGGCAGCAGUGGGGAAUAUUGGACAAUGGGCGCAAGCCUGAUCCAGCAAUGCCGCGUGAGUGAUGAAGGCCCUAGGGUUGUAAGGCUCUUUUACCCGGGAAGAUAAUGACUGUACCGGGAGAAUAAGCCCCGGCUAACUCCGUG